CUCUAGAAGCAGAGAGUGGCCCCUGGCUGACUGCUGGCAAGGGUACCUCAAUCCUACAACUACAAGGAACUAAAUUCUGCCAACAGCUUGGAUAAGCUUGGAAGAAGAUUUUUCCACAGAUCCUUCAGAUAAGAGUUAGGUUCAGCCUUCUGAAGAAUUUGAGAAUCCAUCAUUGCACUGGAAAAUGGAACAAAAAGUCGACUUCAAAGGACCUUGCCCACAAAAGACACCAGAAUGGCAUGAAAAUGCACCUCACAGACAGAGCACCCAGCUGCUGUGCUUUGAAGUCAGCCACACCUCCCAUUCAUUGCUGUUACCAAUGGACUGACUGAAUGCUGUGGCGAUACUGAGGCCGUCUUAGUCCCGGAAGACAGGUGGGGCUCCUUUGUCCACCGCUUAGGCUGGAGUACUUCCCCAUGGCUUUGACAAACAAUCCUUAGACUGCAGAGUAGUGUAGGAUUCUUCCAUUCAACCUUCUCUCCCUCAUCCUGGGGUCAGACUUGGAUGCAGUCCGACAGCUGUCCCAGCCUUUCCUAGCUCCUUCUUUAUUUCUUUUUACACAGGCAUUUCCCACUAUUAAAAUCCUGACAUAUUUAA